ACGUAGGGGGCAAGCGUUAUCCGGAUUUACUGGGUGUAAAGGGAGCGUAGACGGAUGGACAAGUCUGAUGUGAAAGGCUGGGGCUCAACCCCGGGACUGCAUUGGAAACUGCCGUCUUGAGUGCCGGAGAGGUAAGCGGAAUUCCUAGUGUAGCGGUGAAAUGCGUAGAUAUUAGGAGGAACACCAGUGGCGAAGGCGGCUUACUGGACGGUAACUGACGUUGAGGCUCGAAAGCGUGGGGAGCAA
rnacentral:rRNA from 1 species